rnacentral:rRNA from 1 species
AACGAACGCUGGCGGCAUGCCUAACACAUGCAAGUCGAACGAAACCUUCGGGUCUAUUUGCGCACGUGUGCGUAACGCGUGGGAACCUGCCCUUAGGUUCGGAGUAACUCCCCGUGGGGUGUGCUAAUACCGGAUAAUGUCUUCGGACCAAGGAUUUAUCGCCUUUGGGUGGGCGCGCGUUGGAUUCGCUAGUUGGUAGUGUAAAAGCCUACCAAGGAGACGAUGCUUGGCUGGUGGGAGAGGAUGACAAGCCACACUGGGAAUGAGACACGGACCAGCAUCGUACGGGAGGCAGCAGUAGGGAAUAUUGGAGACGGGGCGAAAGUCUGAUAAAGCAAUGCCGGGUGAGAGAUGAAGGCCUUAGGGUUGUAAAGCUCUUUUACACGGGAUGAUAAUGACAGUAACGGGAGAAUAAGCACCGGCUAACUACGUG